rnacentral:rRNA from 1 species
CACGCCCUAAACGAUGUAUACUGGCUUCAGGGACUUCUGACAGUUUCUGGAGCGUAGGGAAACCGUUAAGUAUACCGCCUGGGAAGUACGGUCGCAAGAUUAAAACUCAAAGGAAUUGACGGGGGCUCACACAAGCGGUGGAGCAUGUGGCUUAAUUCGAAGCAACGCGAAGAACCUUACCUAGGUUUGACAUGUUUGGAUAUUGCCCUGGAAACAGGGUUAAUUGCCUUCGGGUGAAACUUACACAGGUGC